rnacentral:rRNA from 1 species
UAGGGAAUCUUCCGCAAUGGGCGAAAGCCUGACGGAGCAACGCCGCGCGAGUGAUGAAGGCCUUCGGAUCGUAAAACUCUGUUAUUAGGGAAGAACAAAUGUGUAAGUAACUAUGCACGCCUUGACGGUACCUAAUCAGAAAGCCACGGCUAACUACGUGCCAGCAGCCGCGGUAAUACGUAGGUGGCAAGCGUUAUCCGGAAUUAUUGGGCGUAAAGCGCGCGUAGGCGGUUUUUUAAGUCUGAUGUGAAAGCCCACGGCUCAACCGUGUAGGGUCAUUGGACACUGGAAAACUUGAGUGCAGAAGAGGAAAGUGGAAUUCCAUGUGUAGCGGUGAAAUGCGCAGAGAUAUGGAGGAACACCAGUGGCGAAGGCGACUUUCUGGUCUGUAACUGACGCUGAUGUGCGAAAGCGUGAGGAUCAAACAGG